rnacentral:rRNA from 1 species
UACGGAGGGUGCAAGCGUUAUCCGGAUUUACUGGGUUUAAAGGGUGUGUAGGCGGACUUUUAAGUCAGCGGUGAAAUCUCCGGGCUCAACCCGGAAACUGCCAUUGAUACUAUUGGUCUUGAACAUUGUGGAGGUGGGCGGAACGGGUCAUGUAGCGGUGAAAUGCUUAGAGAUGACCCGGAACACCGAUUGCGAAGGCAGCCCACUACGCAAUGAUUGACGCUGAGGCACGAAAGCGUGGGGAUCAAACAGG